rnacentral:rRNA from 1 species
CCUACGGGUGGCAGCAGUGAGGAAUAUUGGUCAAUGGACGAGAGUCUGAACCAGCCAAGUAGCGUGAAGGAUGACUGCCCUAUGGGUUGUAAACUUCUUUUAUAUGGGAAUAAAACGUUCCACGUGUGGGAUUUUGUAUGUACCAUAUGAAUAAGGAUCGGCCAACUCCGUGCCAGCAGCCGCGGUAAUACGGAGGAUCCGAGCGUUAUCCGGAUUUAUUGGGUUUAAAGGGAGCGUAGGUGGAUUGUUAAGUCAGUUGUGAAAGUUUGCGGCUCAACCGUAAAAUUGCAGUUGAAACUGGCAGUCUUGAGUACAGUAGAGGUGGGCGGAAUUCGUGGUGUAGCGGUGAAAUGCUUAGAUAUCACGAAGAACUCCGAUUGCGAAGGCAGUUCACUGGACUGCAACUGACACUGAGGCUCGAAAGUGUGGGUAUCAAACAGGAUUAGAUACCCCAGUAGUC